CAGGGCCAUUCCUGAUCCCUCACCUCUGACGCCUGGGCGUGGCGCGCACCUGACGGAAGAAUGGACAAUGGGGCAAAACUCUGAUAUAUAGACUCUGAGAUAACCUAUGCACCUCACCAAGAGCUAGCUAAGUUUAGCUUUCAGGGCAUGUAUCGUAUGGGCUCUCUGUCUGUCUAUCUAACUGGGGAUCUGAUUGAACAAAAGCGGUUCAGUCCAGUUCCUCCUUUUUGACCGUGCAAACCAACGGGACUGGAACAAGAACAACUCUCUGAUACAGAACACAGAUAUAGAUACAGAGAACAUAUGGCUCCUGCUUGUGCUUGCAUAAUCUUACUUGGCUCAAAUAGAUGGAUUUAUUUGCUGUGAUGUCCUUGUACAUGAUGACAUCGUUGACACUUGCAUUUCUAAACUAGAAGAUGUCACGUGUACUUUCUCCUGCUAUUCACAUUGAAAGCAUACAAAGUUGUACUGCA